rnacentral:rRNA from 1 species
GACGAACGCUGGCGGCGUGCUUAACACAUGCAAGUCGAGCGGUAAGGCCCUUUCGGGGGUACACGAGCGGCGAACGGGUGAGUAACACGUGGGUGACCUGCCCUCAGCUCUGGGAUAAGCCUGGGAAACUGGGUCUAAUACUGGAUAUGACUCCACGGUGCAUGUCGUGGGGUGAAAGCCUUGUGCGGCUGAGGAUGGGCCCGCGGCCUAUCAGCUUGUUGGUGGGGUGAUGGCCUACCAAGGCGACGACGGGUAGCCGGCCUGAGAGGCGACCGGCCACACUGGACUGAGACACGGCCCAGACUCCUACGGGAGGCAGCAGUGGGAAUCUUGCGCAAUGGGCGAAAGCCUGACGCAGCGACGCCGCGUGAGGGAU